GAGCGAUGAAGUUUCUUCGGGAAUGGAUUAGCGGCGAACGGGUGAGGAACACGUGAAGAAUCUGCCCUCCACUUUGGGAUAACACCGGGAAACCGGUGCUAAUACCGAAUAUUGAAACAUAAGUGGCAUCACUGAGUUUUGAAAGAAUUUCGGUGGAGGAUGACUUCGCGGCCUAUCAGCUAGUUGGUGAGGUAAUGGCUCACCAAGGCAACGACGGGUAGCCGGCCUGAGAGGGCGACCGGCCACACUGGGACUGAGACACGGCCCAGACUCCUACGGGAGGCAGCAGUGGGGAAUAUUGGGCAAUGGAGGAAACUCUGACCCAGCGACGCCGCGUGCGGGACGAAGGCCUUCGGGUUGUAAACCGCUUUCAGUAGGGAAGAAGCGAAAGUGACGGUACCUACAAAAGAAGCACCGGCUAACUAUGUGCCAGCAGCCGCGGUAAUACAUAGGGUGCAAGCGUUGUCCGGAAUUAUUGGGCGUAAAGAGCUCGUAGGUCGUUUGUUACGUCGGAUGUGAAAACCUGAGGCUCAACCUCAGGCCUGCAUUCGAUACGGGCAAACUAGAGUUUGGUAGGGGAGACUGGAAUUCCUGGUGUAGCGGUGGAAUGCGCAGAUAUCAGGAGGAACACCAAUGGCGAAGGCAGGUCUCUGGGCCAAUACUGACACUGAGGAGCGAAAGUCUGGGGAGCGAACAGGAUUAGAUACCCUGGUAGUCCAGACCGUAAACGGUGGGCACUAGUUGUGGGAACCUUCCACGGUUUCUGCGACGCAGCUAACGCAUUAAGUG
rnacentral:rRNA from 1 species